UGGGGAAUAUUGCGCAAUGGGGGGAACCCUGACGCAGCAACGCCGCGUGAAGGAAGAAGGUCUUCGGAUUGUAAACUUUUGUCUUAUGGGAAGAAACAAAUGACGGUACCAUAGGAGGAAGCCACGGCUAACUACGUGCCAGCAGCCGCGGUAAUACGUAGGUGGCAAGCGUUGUCCGGAUUUACUGGGUGUAAAGGGCGUGUAGGCGGGGUCUUAAGUCAGAUGUGAAAUACCCGGGCUUAACUUGGGAAUUGCAUUUGAAACUGAGGCUCUUGAGUGAUGGAGAGGAAAGCGGAAUUCCUAGUGUAGCGGUGAAAUGCGUAGAUAUUAGGAGGAACACCAGUGGCGAAGGCGGCUUUCUGGACAUUAACUGACGCUGAGGCGCGAAAGCGUGGGGAGCAAACAGG
rnacentral:rRNA from 2 species